UACGGAGGGUGCAAGCGUUAAUCGGAAUUACUGGGCGUAAAGCGCGCGUAGGCGGUUUGUUAAGUCAGAUGUGAAAGCCCAGGGCUCAACCUUGGAACUGCAUCUGAUACGGCAGGCUAGAGUACAGGAGAGGGAAGUGGAAUUUCAGGUGUAGCGGUGAAAUGCGUAGAGAUCUGAAGGAACACCGUGGCGAGGACUUCCUGGACUGAUACUGACGCUGAGGUGCGAAAGGCGUGGGGAGCAAACAGGAUUCAGAUACCGGUAGUCC
rnacentral:rRNA from 1 species